UACGUAGGGGGCGAGCGUUGUCCGAAUUUACUGGGCGUAAAGCGCGCGUAGGCGGUUUCUUAAGUCUGGGGUGAAAGGUUCAACGCUCAACGUGAACAGUGCCUUGGAUACUGGGAGACUUGAGUCUGGGAGGGGGUAGUGGAAUUCCUGGUGUAGCGGUGAAAUGCGUAGAUAUCAGGAGGAACACCGGUGGCGAAGGCGGCUACCUGGCCUAAGACUGACGCUGAGGUGCGAAAGCGUGGGGAGCGAA
rnacentral:rRNA from 1 species